UCCACCUCUUGUGACUUUGACCAUUGCUCGUGCGAUCUCCUCCAACAACUUAUGAUGGCAAGAUCAACGACAACUCCUCUUUCUCCCUGUCGAGUGUGUACCAAGGGGAUGGCUGGUAGUUUGCGAUUGAUAGUUUGAAGUGAAACAGAAAGAAAAUAUAUGAAAAAAAAAACUUAAAACGUUAUUAUUGUAAAUAAGAAAACUUAUAUCAUUUUUGCAAAUAAAGUUUCGUGCAAAUGUAAAUAAUCUUUUUUGAAAACCAAAUCCAAAUCAAUGUCUGGAUUUUAUGUUGUAAAAUGAAAGCGAUAAAAAAAAAAAAUCAGGUUUUCUUCAUUUUGUGAAAGUUCUUCCCAAAAUCCUCAAAAACAAAAUCCAUUUCUUCUCGUCUACUCCCCUCCCCUCCACCAUUCGAGAAAAAACAGACCAUCUCUCUCUCUUCCGUCAACGGUGACUGGCGGCCCCUCCUAAUUGCGCGCCUGGUUGACUCCAAUUCCAAAUCUACCUCUCCUCCGCCUUCAGUCACAUAAGAAAAUGUCGAUGUGUUUUCCAUCAACCCCAAAGAAAAUGGCGACGACGGUGGGAUGCUUUCUCACUGGUGCUGCCCUUUUUGCUUAUGGCCUUCAUCUGUCAUAUGUAAACGUUGCUCCUCAACAAGCCCGAACCAAAGCUCGAAGCGAUUUUGUAAGAGAACGACUUAAAAAGAAAUAUGGCCAAUCUUAAAAUUAUUUUCUUUUUUUGCUUUUCAGAAUAAAUCAUUUCAGUGAUGUUUAGACCCUCAAACUAACUCAAAUGAACAGGUGAUGUAACGUUGUAGUAUGUAAAUUUUCGGAAUAAUUACGCUCUAUACAUCUUUGUAGUUUA